UCAUAUCCAAGUCUUGAAUACAAAGUCUGUGUUUGUGGACAGAGAUCGUUCUUAUUUCUCAACAUCAUGAAGGUUGUCGUUGUCGUUCUCCUGUUGGCCGUUGGUGCUUUUGCAUUGGGUGAAAAAGGCUAUUCCUACAGCACUGGUGACUCUUCUGUGACCGUACAGCACGACACUUUGCCCUACUCUGGUUACCAAGGGCUCCACAACUACGCCCAUCCGGGUUACAAUACUUAUCCGUACAACCAGUACCAAGGCUGGAACUACUCUCCACGCUAUUAUAGUGGUUACAAUUACGGAUUGGGUCUCCACAACUACGCUGGCCAUCCAGGAUAUUAUGGGGCCCUCGGCCGUUUCUAUUAAGUCACGAAACGACUUUGACCUCGUGAUUACCGGUACUUGCUUGAAAAAGGAUGAAUCUUACAUUUGUUUCCGGAAACAAUUAUAAUUGGAACACAUUGUUACAUUUCUUCAGAUGUGUAUGAAUUAAUAA